AUAUAUAUAAAAAUUUAAAGUAAACAAUAAUAAAAAAUAUUUUAAAAUAAAUAAAUAGGGUUAUAUAAAGCAUGAAAAUAGUUUUAAAAUGAACGAUGUGCAUAUAGAUUAAUUUAAAAAUAUACAUAUAUACAUAGAGAUAAAAACUUGAAAUAAAAGGGGGCUUAAAGAAAAUAAUAAUAGUAAUAAUAAUAUACAAAACUGUCACUUUGUUAUAUGUAUAAAAAAUAAUUGGAAAUAAACUAUAUGAAUGAUAUGUGAAAAGUAUCAAAAACAUAUAAUAUAACAAAAUAGCCAAGUACACUCAAUAUACAAAAAAAAAAACGUUUAAAAUGGAUAAUAAUUCAAUUUUUAAUAAUCAAUGUUAAAACAAGUUAAAAUAAAUCAUAUACAUAAAUAAUCUAGUAGCAAACAGUAUGUAAAAUAUUUGAAAUAGUACAUAAUAAAACAUUCUAAAAUUAAUAAACAAUAAAAGUAACAAAAAGGAUGCAGGACGUGAUUGAAAGUGGGCCAGAAUUCAGGGUAUCGAUUGCAAAUGAAAAGAGAAGGUCACUGGGGGCUAAUUCGAAACAUGCUUAAACUCGCGGGGAUUAAUUGGGACAAUAUCCCAAACCCAAGCAUAUGUGUGCAAAACGGCAGUGUUUUGCAUGGCUAUUAAAGCCAAAAUUUUUUGUUUAUUUUUAUUUUAACUUCAUUUUCUUUCAAAAAAAAAAGGCAGAGAGCUUUCCUGCUCUCUCUCUCCCUCCUCCCUCUUCUCAUUUGGCUAGGGUAAUAUACCCAUCACGCCGGACCACCGCUCCUCCACCGUAGACGGUGGUCGGGGAGACGUAAAAUGGUCCCCUUAGCCUCGUUUGAAACGCCUUUGAAGGCUAGGCUACCAAAACUGAAAGAAUCGAAGGAGGCCCUCAACCCCCCCUUUUGGGUCCGAUGUCGGCGAUGAAAAAGUGUUCUCCGACGCGCGACCACGAGAUCCAGGUGAGCCCCUCCCUUUUCUUUUUUAUUCUUUGUUUUUUAUGCAUAAAAUAGAUAUCUAAAAAAUGAAAUAAAAUGAAAAAAUGAGAAGAUAAAAGAAACAAAAAAUAUUAAAACAACGACCUUUCUAAUUUUUAUUUUGCGUUUUGCUUUCUAAUCUCCGUAAAAAAAGAAAGGGAUUGAUUUUGGCUUUUUAUAGCCGAGUUACACUGAUUUGUUCUUUGUUUUUUCAUUUUGUUUGAUUCCUUUCGUUUUUUUUUGCUCGUCGUUUUCUCUUUGUUCGUUUCUCCGCUGUUGGUAUUUGCUUGCGUAUGGACCUUCAUUUUGCAGGUCGUGUCAGAGGCUGAUGGUUGGUGCCCCGAGCCGUGGUGGCACACGUGGCAGAGGAGGCAGCGGUUGAAAGUCUGCAACUAGGUUUUUUGCUGCUGAAAAUUUUUAGUUGGUUGGGCUGUCUUGGGCUUUAGGGUUUGUAUUUAAUUGGCUUUGGUUUAGUAGUGGGCUGAUGGGGUUUGGGUAGUUUGUAAUUUGGGCUAGGUGACUCUUGGAUUUUAUUUUUAUUUAUUGUAUUUGGUGUUUUAUUUUGGUUUGUUGGUAUGGGCCAAAAUUGGCUGCUACACCUACAAUUCAUAUUAAAGUUAGAAAAACAUGAAAUAUAAAAUAAUAAGGGUCACAAUUUGGGAUCCAAGGAUCACGCCAACAUUGAAUAUUCUUACCAUCACCAACGGACCAUAAGAGGUUUUCAUAAAUAAGGGGCCAAACCUUAGCAAUUGAUCUCUGUAGGAAAGAACAACGCCCCCUUGAAAUAUUUUCGGGUAAACCACUAGGAACUCCGUACUUUGAUCGAAGGACACGAACCCACAAAGCAUUGACAUUAGAGACAAUGUUAAAACCAAUCUUCAUCAUGAAAGAGGUAUUAUGAUCUUUCAAACGCCUUAGACCAAGGCCCCCAUGACCUUUCGGUUGACACACCGAGUCCCAACUAACCAAUGCUACCUUCGAGUUGCCAUUAGAGGAUCCCCAAAUGAAUUUUCGCACAAUUCAUUCGAUCUCAUCGCACAAACCUUUAGGAACCAUCAUUGUUUGCAUAAAGUAACUUGGGAUCGAAAGAAGGACAGAUUGAGCUAAAGUCACCCUAUCGACCAAGGAAAGCUGUCUGGCGUCCCAACUAGACAACUUGCUGCGCACUUUAUCGACCACAAAGCGUAGUGUAUUACUAGUAACCCUGUAAUGGCCCAAAUUUGAGGUUAUUGGAACAGUGGUUUCGGAACCACAAAUCCGAUGAGAAAAAUUUUAUUUUUCUUAUAUUUUUAUGGUCUACAAUUUCACAAAAUGAUUUUUUGAAAAUUUCGUUCGAAAAUUUCGACGUUUGGGCACUCAAUUUAGUCAAAAGGACUAAAUUGUAAAAAGUGCAAAAGUUGAGUUCUACAUGUUAGAGGUGUCCAAUUGUUAUGAAACUUUAAAUUGGAGGUCCUUAUAUGGUAAUUAUACCAUUGGUAACUUGGUAGACAAAAAUGGACAUGAGAUAAGUGAAAUAGAAAAUUUUUAAGUUAGGGGCAAUUUGGUAAUCUAGUAAUUAAAAUGAAUUAAAAGGGAAAAAGAUGGCAAAAAUCAUCAUCUUCUUCAUAUGAACGAAAUCAGCAAGGGGGGAAGCCAUAGUUAGGGUUUUCAAGCUUCCAAGCUCCAUAGUAAGUGAUCCCAAGCCCCGUUUUUAAUGUUCUUUACGUUUUUGAGAUCCCGAUAGCUUAAUUUAGCUUAUUCUAGCAAUAAUUUAACCUAGGGUUUAUAUUUGGAAAAAUACCCAUAGGUGAAAAGUGUUUAUUUUGAUGUUUUAUGAUAGAAUAUGAAGCUAGAAAUUAUGUUAAACAACUUUUGCUAAGCGAUUUUAAGUGAAAACGAGUAAAACGACAUAAUCGGUAAAAAUACCUAAUGUUCAUAAGUACAUGUUAGAGUGGGAAUUUGAUGUUUCCAUAGAAGGGAAAAAUGUUCAGAAUGUUAUAAAACAUAAGAAUAAGAGAUGAAGUUUAAUUUCCGAGCCUUGGGGCAAAAAUGUAAUUAUGUAAAAGUUUAGGGGCAAAAUUGUAAUUUUGAAAAAGUUAGAGUCGAGGGCUGUUUUGAUGAAUGUGAUUAUUAAAUAAGUUAAAUUUACUAUUUUAGAUCAAGAAGUACGAAACUCGAGGUUAGACAAAGGGAAGAAUAAAGUUGAAGACUAAGUUGGUGAAUUUGGCUAUAAUUGGUACCGAGGUAAGUUUACGGUAAAUAAAUGCAAUAUUUCAAUAUUUAUUAUUAAUGCUGUUAAUUUUCAGCAAUUAUGAAUUUAUUUUAUGAAUUUAUUUGAUGAUGAUCCAAGCAUGAAAUGAUAGAGAAUUAAAAUUUAAAAGUCCCGUUGAUACAUAAGGAUGGUACUGGAUACGAAUGUCAUGACAUUUGGGUAAAGAGAUCCCAUGUAAGACCAUGUCUGGGACAUGGCAUUGGCAUCCUUAAGAUCAUGAGAGGUCCCCUGUAAGACCAUGUCUGGGACAUGGCAUGGGCACCGAGACGAAAGGUCCCAUGUAAGACCAUGUCUGGGACAUGGCGUUGGCACCGAGAUGAGAGGUCCCCUAUAAGACCAUGUCUGGGACAUGGCAUGGGCACCAUCACGAGAACAUCCAUGUAAGACCAUGUCUGGGACAUGGCUUUGGCAUGUUAUUAUCAGAAGAGACCCGAGUAUCCUUAUUAUUCCAAUGUAGCUCAAUGGGCUUGUAAACGAAUCAUGUUCAUGAAAGUUCAGUUUAAAGCAUAAAUGGCAAGCUCAGGUAAGUUGUAAGACUUAAGAACUUAUUAUACUAUCAAUUGAUGUUCAACGAUGCAGCAAGGAUUGAGUAAGUUAUGCACACAAGUAUUCUAAGUAAACAAGUAAGAGAACUAGUAUGAGAUUAACUAAAGAGUAAACUAGAGAUAUAGACAUUGAGUUUAAUUAUUUAAGUUAAAUAUUGUUAUUUAUUUGCUAGUAAACUUACUAAGCUUUAUGCUUACUUCUUUUAUUUCUCUUUCUCUUAUAGUAUUGCAAAGCUACUUCAAGGAUCCUAAAGAAGUCGG
rnacentral:lncRNA from 1 species